rnacentral:tRNA from 1 species
UGAUGGGUAGCUCAGUGGUAGAGCGCUAAACAUCCUUAAUUUAUAACCUUGUCUGCAAAGACCGACUAAUUGAGGGUUAUCGACUUCUAAUCGUAGUGGUCGCAGGUUCGAGUCCUGCUCCAUCAC